CUAGUUACAUAUAAAUAGUUGCCUUUUCAUGUCUACAGGUAGAAUUAAAAUUGCUUCCUAUGCUAAUAUAUUUGGUUUAUUAAGAUGAAUAACUCCUUCCUUUUACAGAAAGAUAGGUCCAUAGUGAUUAGUCACUUUCCUCCUUGCUGAGACACGAUACCUGACAACUCGCCACGUAAAGGAGGAGAGAGAUUUUGGCUUCCAGUUUCAGAAGUUUUAGUCCCUCAUUGGAAGACUCUGAUGCAGAAAUGGCAUCACGGAAGGGCCUGCCGCAGGGGAGAGCUGCUCCUAUCCUGUGGGCCAGGAGGCAGAAGGGAGGGAGAUUCUCCCACAUCACACCCGGGGACCUGCCUCUGCUGCACAGACCCUCCUCGGAAUAGCAGAAAACACUGUCCAAGGAUACCUGGCAGAAAUUAUGGAAUCACAUUUUUCAGAGAUACUUCAUCUUGGAGGUAGAAGACUGCUAACUCUGAGGAGCCAAAACAUCUUGAAGAUGAGAUGUUUUGCUAAUUCGCACAGAGAUGGCCCUUAAGGCGAAAACAAGGAAGCUCCUGGGGAAAAUCAGGUAAGUUAAUUAUUCAGCCAAACUGUCACCCUGCCUUGCUUGCCUGCCUUGCUACCUAAAACAAACCUCUGUGCUCAGCAGAACUCUGUGCCUUUGUUAUUCCUCAGUAAAUCUGAGGGUUUCACUCAUUUCAGACAUUCACUCCUUUGUGGUAAAGUCACCUGGACUCCCAACAAAGGUAUUCUCGGUCUCUCAUGUUUUUCAUUCAUCUAUCUAUCAGGGUGUGCUGGCCCCAACCCAGCUGUGCACUGAAUGGCUUAGCACAGUUCUGGGGGUGGAUAAUGGGAAGGCCCACACUUGGUAUGGGAGGCAAAAUCCAAAAGGCUCCUAGCCUGGACAGAAUAAAAGGGAAAGGGAGGCUCGCUGCUUACCACCUUUUGCCUGCCAUUCCACGCCAUCCUCUUUCCCCUCUGCCAUCCCCCUUUGGAACACCGAAGAUGGACAGAAACCUCUAUAAACCAUGAGCUAAAAUAAACCUU